rnacentral:lncRNA from 1 species
CCAAAUUUCAAAAACUGACAAAUCAUAUACGUACCGUUACUCCUUCAGAAGUGCAACUGCUUGGCAGCAGGCAACUUUUUCUGUAUUUUCAUUUCUAAAUAUCUUUUUUUAAUUGAAAAAGAGUCCAAAAUUCAUGACAAAACAAAAAUGCAAUAAGAACCCAUAAAAAUUAAAUAAAUAAAUAAAAUAAAAUAAAAAUAGUGCAAGAAAACGUACCUCAUCAUCUGCAGGCUUUUCCUGGUUGGACUAUUUUGAUCACUUUCGAAAACUCCAUGCCUUGUUUAAGUGAUUGCAUAUUCUAGUUUGUCCUUUUGUCUUUUUGAUUUGCAGAGAAAUUUUUUUUUUCUUUAAGGAAAAAGAAAAGUGGUAAUAAGUUGUAAACCUGAUUCCCUAUUUUCCACUUUUUAAAGUUUCUUUUGCAUCAGCCAUCCAUCUAACUAAAGUUAGAC